GCCCGCGCGUCCGAGGCGGUGGAGGGGGGGUCCCGCCAUGAGCCGGCCGGAGGGGGCCGGCAGCCGCGCCCUGGAGGUGAAGUUCGUGCCCGACGAGGAUGUCCUGAAGCACAUUGCCGACGAAGCAGGUAUUAAGGUACGGAAAGACAAGACUCAGCUGGCAGUCAGUGUGAAGAAAUUGGUGAAGAAGCUUGAGAAUAUUUCAGAUGAUGAAGCUCAGGAGAUCCUGGAAGAGGAAAACUAUGUUGCUGCUCUUGGAAUAUCCGCCCAAGAUCCAAUGGGAAAUGGGUCAAGUGUAAGUGGUGGUGAAGUUUACUCAUUCCAGACUCCCAAACGCUCCAGCAAGAUGGCAGAGCUAGCCUCUGAAUUAGCCCAGGCACCAGGACAGAGUGUUGCAUCUAAUCACUUUGAGUGCAUGGAGAAGACAGCCAAAACCCCUCAAAGCAGCAAAUGUUCAAGUUCAAACAAAGUGCAGCAGAGGAGUAAAAAGAAAGAAUUUGUGUCUACCACACCUUACAGACUCCGAAAGAGGCUAGCAGCUCCAGACCCCUGUUUAGAAAGUGAGAGUGAAUAUUCUGCUUCCUGCUCAGAGGAGGAGGAGGAGGAAAACCAGAAAGAAGUCAGCACUGUUUUAUCAGAUCAAAAGACCCCAGCAAAAACUAAGGCUGUAUCUACGCCUCCUCCCAGAAACACCCUAGUAAAAAAAAAUGAGGACAAGAUGAGCAACCUGGUGGAGGAAUACUUUGAAGCUCACAGUAGCUCCAAAGUGCUCACUUCAGACCGAACGCUGCAGAAGUUGCGGAAGAGAAGAUUGAAUCAGCAAACACUGCACGAACUUUUGAAAGAAGCUCCCCUUGCCUAUGCUGCUGAAAUUAAAGAGCUAAACCAGCAACACGAAUCCCUCUUUUCCAAGUGGAUGCUGCAAUUACGCUUGGGUUUUAAUAUAGUGCUUUAUGGACUGGGCUCAAAGCGUGAUUUAUUAGAGAAGUUUCGUACCUCUGUGCUCCAGGAUUCUGUUCACCUUGUGGUCAAUGGAUACUUCCCCAGCAUCACGGUGAAAUCUAUUCUUAACUCCAUCACAGAGGAGAUACUGGACCAUAUAGGGACCUUCCGCAGCCCCCUUGACCAACUUGAGUUCAUCACAAAAAGGUUUAAAGAAGAUUCAUCUGUAGAGCUUUAUAUCCUCAUUCAUAACCUGGACAGCCAGAUGUUGAGAGGAGAAAGAAGUCAGCAGAUCCUUGCACAGUUGUCCUCUCUGCCUACUGUUUACCUCAUUGCCUCUAUUGAUCACAUCAAUGCUCCUCUCAUGUGGGAUCAGGCAAAACUAAGCCUCUUCAACUGGCUUUGGUAUGAAACAACCACAUUUAAUCCGUAUGUGGAAGAAACGUCUUACGAGAACUCGUUUUUAGUACAACAAUCUGGAUCUUUGGCUUUGAGCUCCUUAACACAUGUCCUGCGCAGUCUCACUCUCAAUGCCAGGGGAAUAUUCAGACUGCUUGCUCAGUACCAGCUGGAGAACAAGGACAACCCAUCUUACCCAGGACUGUCUUUUCAAGACUUCUACCAGCAGUGUCGGGAGGCUUUUCUUGUGAACAGUGACCUAACACUCAGAGCACAGCUGACAGAAUUCAGGGACCACAAGCUCAUCCGGACAAAGCGGGGAGCUGACGGUGUGGAAUACUUAUUAAUUCCUGUAGAUGACAGUACCUUGACCGACUUCUUAGAGAAAGAGGAUGAAGAUGUAUAAUGUGUCUCUGUUCUGCGGCAGUUGCUGUCAUGAGCUGCUGGAGAGGGGCCUAUGAUCAGAUCUCUCCCUUCAACCCCAAGGCUGCUGACUACUGAAAUGUAAUAAUUGUAAUGAACGAUGCUCAUUGUUCAACUACUUCAGGUAGUUUGGAAUUAUGACUUCUGCAAGCAAGGUGUCUCUUGCUCUACAGUUAAUUUGUCUGCUUUGUCUCUUAGCUCAGGUGAUGCCUUCUUCAUAUCUAUGCAGCCAACCUUACAGCUAGGAAAACAAACUUGGUAAGAUUGUGCCUUCUGCUUGCUACCUCACCAGACACGAGGGUUUGAUUGGAACAGUGUACUUGGGAAGAACAAAUCACUAGAUUGUCAGAGCUUUAGUUUGUACAAGUGAUGAAACUCAUCUCAACUAGGCUUUCCAGUACUCUUUUUACCAGUUAGACAAGACUAGCUUCCAGUGUAUGAAGAAGCCAAUAUUUAUAAUGCUAAGAGACCUGCCUUGACUGCAUGAGGAAAGAAUACAAGUGGGUUUGAGAUACUGUGGGUAACUUAAUAAGUUCUGGCAGUAGAACUGAAGGACUUGCACCAAACCCACAUCCUUUUAUAAGAAGGUUUAGAUAAUUAAAAACUGUGAUGGCUUAACUCCAUUGCCUUUUGGUGAGGUGAGAGGAUCCAGGUUCUUUACCUUCCAAGUUGCAAUCCCAGAAUAUGAAGAGGUUGUGUUCUUUAACAGCUUGAUUGUAUAUAUGUAAUUUUUACAUUAGGAGUGUCUGCUGAUCCUGGAGGAGGCCUUAAAUGCCUCUUAUAAGCUCUCCCUUUUUUUAAGCCCUUAGAAGUUGGGAGACUGCUGAAGUUUGACAGCUUUUCUUCACUUGUUUUCUCAGGCUGCAAUUCCAAAACUUUGCAAAAUGCAUCAGAUUCUGCCUACUUCAGGCUACUGUCAGAAUCACUACCACUGGGAUCAAGGGAUUGUCUUAUCCAGCAACAUAACCUUUUUACCUGUGAGAUAGAGGUCAGCUUCCAUUCCCUUCAGGACACUGCUGCC